CCUACGGGAGGCAGCAGUGAGGAAUAUUGGUCAAUGGGCGGGAGCCUGAACCAGCCAAGUCGCGUGAGGGAAGACGGUCCUAUGGAUUGUAAACCUCUUUAGGCGGGGAGCAAUGCCGGGCACGCGUGCCCGGAGGGAGAGUACCCGCAGAAUAAGCAUCGGCUAACUCCGUGCCAGCAGCCGCGGUAAUACGGAGGAUGCGAGCGUUAUCCGGAUUGAUUGGGUUUAAAGGGUGCGUAGGCGGAUUUUUAAGUCAGCGGUAAAAUGUCCGGGCUCAACCCGGGCCGGCCGUUGAAACUGGGGAUCUUGAGUGGGCGAGAAGUAUGCGGGAUGCGUGGUGUAGCGGUGAAAUGCAUAGAUAUCACGCAGAACUCCGAUUGCGAAGGCAGCAUACCGGCGCCCGACUGACGCUGAGGCACGAAAGCGUGGGGAUCGAACAGGAUUAGAUACCCCGAGUAGUC
rnacentral:rRNA from 1 species